CCUACGUGUGGCAGCAGUGAGGAAUUUUCGUCAGUGGGGGCAACCCUGAACGAGCAACGCCGCGUGGAGGAUGAAGGCCUUCGGGUCGUAAACUCCUUUUCUCUGGGACGAGCAAGGACGGUACCAGAGGAAGAAGCCCCGGCUAACUACGUGCCAGCAGCCGCGGUAAUACGUAGGGGGCGAGCGUUGUCCGGAUUUAUUGGGCGUAAAGCGUCCGCAGGUGGUCAACCAAGUUUGGGGUGACAGUUCCCGGCUCAACUGGGAAAGUGCUUCGAAAACUGGCUGACUUGAGGGCUUGAGAGGAAAGCGGAAUUCCGGGUGGAGUGGUGAAAUGCGUAGAUAUCCGGAGGAACACCAAUGGCGUAGGCAGCUUUCUGGCAAGUACCUGACACUCAUGGACGAAAGCUAGGGGAGCAAACGGGAUUAGAUACCCGGGUAGUC
rnacentral:rRNA from 1 species